UUGAACGCUGGCGGCAGGCCUAACACAUGCAAGUCGAACGGUAACAGGAAGCAGCUUGCUGUUUCGCUGACGAGUGGCGGACGGGUGAGUAAUGUCUGGGAAACUGCCUGAUGGAGGGGGAUAACUACUGGAAACGGUAGCUAAUACCGCAUAACGUCGCAAGACCAAAGAGGGGGACCUUCGGGCCUCUUGCCAUCGGAUGUGCCCAGAUGGGAUUAGCUAGUAGGUGGGGUAACGGCUCACCUAGGCGACGAUCCCUAGCUGGUCUGAGAGGAUGACCAGCCACACUGGAACUGAGACACGGUCCAGACUCCUACGGGAGGCAGCAGUGGGGAAUAUUGCACAAUGGGCGCAAGCCUGAUGCAGCCAUGCCGCGUGUAUGAAGAAGGCCUUCGGGUUGUAAAGUACUUUCAGCGGGGAGGAAGGGAGUAAAGUUAAUACCUUUGCUCAUUGACGUUACCCGCAGAAGAAGCACCGGCUAACUCCGUGCCAGCAGCCGCGGUAAUACGGAGGGUGCAAGCGUUAAUCGGAAUUACUGGGCGUAAAGCGCACGCAGGCGGUUUGUUAAGUCAGAUGUGAAAUCCCCGGGCUCAACCUGGGAACUGCAUCUGAUACUGGCAAGCUUGAGUCUCGUAGAGGGGGGUAGAAUUCCAGGUGUAGCGGUGAAAUGCGUAGAGAUCUGGAGGAAUACCUGUGGCGAAGGCGGCCCCCUGGACGAAGACUGACGCUCAGGUGCGAAAGCGUGGGGAGCAAACAGGAUUAGAUACCCUGGUAGUCCACGCCGUAAACGAUGUCGACUUGGAGGUUGUGCCCUUGAGGCGUGGCUUCCGGAGCUAACGCGUUAAGUCGACCGCCUGGGGAGUACGGCCGCAAGGUUAAAACUCAAAUGAAUUGACGGGGGCCCGCACAAGCGGUGGAGCAUGUGGUUUAAUUCGAUGCAACGCGAAGAACCUUACCUGGUCUUGACAUCCACGGAAGUUUUCAGAGAUGAGAAUGUGCCUUCGGGAACCGUGAGACAGGUGCUGCAUGGCUGUCGUCAGCUCGUGUUGUGAAAUGUUGGGUUAAGUCCCGCAACGAGCGCAACCCUUAUCCUUUGUUGCCAGCGGUCCGGCCGGGAACUCAAAGGAGACUGCCAGUGAUAAACUGGAGGAAGGUGAGGAUGACGUCAAGUCAUCAUGGCCCUUACGACCAGGGCUACACACGUGCUACAAUGGCGCAUACAAAGAGAAGCGACCUCGCGAGAGCAAGCGGACCUCAUAAAGUGCGUCGUAGUCCGGAUUGGAGUCUGCAACUCGACUCCAUGAAGUCGGAAUCGCUAGUAAUCGUGGAUCAGAUUGCCACGGUGAAUACGUUCCCGGGCCUUGUACACACCGCCCGUCACACCAUGGGAGUGGGUUGCAAAAGAAGUAGGUAGCUUAACCUUCGGGAGGGCGCUUACCACUUUGUGAUUCAUGACUGGGGUG
rnacentral:rRNA from 1 species